rnacentral:rRNA from 1 species
GUCCUUGCCGUAAACGAUGUAGAUUAGGUAUCGGGGGUGUCGAUCCCUCCGGCGCCGACGUUAACACAUUAAAUCUACCACCUGGGGAGUACGGUCGCAAGACUGAAACUCAAAGAAAUUGACGGGGACCCGCACAAGCGGUGGAGCAUGUGGUUUAAUUCGAGGCUACGCGAAGAACCUUACCCAGGCUUGAAAUGUAGUUGACAUGCCAUGAAAGUGGUCCUUCUCGCAAGAGACAAUUACACAGGUGCUGCAUGGCUGUCGU